GCUUGCUUCUAUGACGUUAGCGGCGGACGGGUGAGUAACACGUGGGCAACCUGCCUGUAAGACUGGGAUAACUUCGGGAAACCGAAGCUAAUACCGGAUAGGAUCUUCUCCUUCAUGGGAGAUGAUUGAAAGAUGGUUUCGGCUAUCACUUACAGAUGGGCCCGCGGUGCAUUAGCUAGUUGGUGAGGUAACGGCUCACCAAGGCAACGAUGCAUAGCCGACCUGAGAGGGUGAUCGGCCACACUGGGACUGAGACACGGCCCAGACUCCUACGGGAGGCAGCAGUAGGGAAUCUUCCGCAAUGGACGAAAGUCUGACGGAGCAACGCCGCGUGAGUGAUGAAGGCUUUCGGGUCGUAAAACUCUGUUGUUAGGGAAGAACAAGUACAAGAGUAACUGCUUGUACCUUGACGGUACCUAACCAGAAAGCCACGGCUAACUACGUGCCAGCAGCCGCGGUAAUACGUAGGUGGCAAGCGUUAUCCGGAAUUAUUGGGCGUAAAGCGCGCGCAGGCGGUUUCUUAAGUCUGAUGUGAAAGCCCACGGCUCAACCGUGGAGGGUCAUUGGAAACUGGGGAACUUGAGUGCAGAAGAGAAAAGCGGAAUUCCACGUGUAGCGGU
rnacentral:rRNA from 2 species